rnacentral:rRNA from 1 species
CGAACGCUGGCGGCAGGCCUAAUACAUGCAAGUCGAACGGCUCUUCGGAGCAGUGGCGGACGGGUGAGUAACGCGUGGGAAUGUACCCUUUGGUACGGAACAACACAGGGAAACUUGUGCUAAUACCGUAUGUGCCCUUCGGGGGAAAGAUUUAUCGCCAUUGGAGCAGCCCGCGUUGGAUUAGGUAGUUGGUGAGGUAAAGGCUCACCAAGCCUACGAUCCAUAGCUGGUCUGAGAGGAUGACCAGCCACACUGGGACUGAGACACGGCCCAGACUCCUACGGGAGGCAGCAGUAGGGAAUCUUGCGCAAUGGGCGAAAGCCUGACGCAGCCAUGCCGCGUGUAUGAUGAAGGUCUUAGGAUUGUAAAAUACUUUCACCGGGGAAGAUAAUGACGGUACCCGGAGAAGAAGCCCCGGCUAACUUCGUGCCAGCAGCCGCCGCCGUAA